UCAGCUUCUCGGCAUGCAGCUAAGAUCAAGUGUAGUAUCUGUUCUUAUCAGUUUAAUAUCUGAUAUGUCCUCUAUAUGAGGACCUAAUAACCGAUUUUUUGGCAUGAGGGCAGAAAUUUUGAGCUUGCUCCUUUCUCUCACGCAUCGACCUAGCAUUUGGUCCGCUGCAAGACAGUGCACUCUGU